AUAAUGGUACUUCUGUCCAGCCACAGCCUGAACCGGAAGCACUGUCGGAUCACGGCAGCGCAGGCCGGCCGCACGCAAUGGGGGCAGCUCGGAAGAAUUUCGGAGGGGUUAGAGUCCCAUGG
rfam:Clostridium sp. SY8519 DNA, complete genome.